rnacentral:misc_RNA from 1 species
UACGAGGGGGGCAAAUGUUGUUCGGAAUCACUGGGCGUAAAGGGAGCGUAGGCGGGUUUUUAAGUCAGGUGUUUAAUCCCGGGGCCCAACCCCGGACAGGCACUUGAAACUGGAAAUCUUGAAUAGUGGAGAGGUCAGUGGAAUUGGAGGUGUAGCGGUGGAAUGCGUAGAGAUCUCCAAGAACACCCGUUGCGAAGGCGGCUGACUGGACACAUAUUGACGCUGAGGCUCGAAAGCAUGGGGAGCAAACAGG